rnacentral:lncRNA from 1 species
GUCAAAGGAGCAAUAAUACUUUGUUUGCUGCUCUACCAUGAUAUUGCUCCAUCAACAUGUAGAAAAAUAUACCCAGUUGUAAACUUUCUGGUAUCUGGGCAUCCAGCAAAAUCGAAGUCCGAGUACCCAAUCAGCUCCAAGUGAUCUGGUCUCCUGUAUAUCAGCAUGUGAUCCAAAGUUCCCUUCAAAUACCUCAUAACCUUCUUAGCAGCCUCCCAAUGCUCCAUACCUGGAUUACUUUGAUACCUGCCAAGUAAUCCAACGGCAAAAGCAAUAUCCGAACGUGUGCACGUCUGUGCAUACAUAAGACUACCAACUGAAGAGGCAUAGGAUAUGUUUUUCAUCUGUUCAAUUUUUAAUUGGUUCUUGGGACACUAAAAAGCAUUGAGCUUAUCCCCGUUCUAGAGAGGAGCAACACUGGGCUUACAAUUAUGCAUUUCAAAAUUUUCCAAAACUUUCUUUGUUUAGGCCUUUUGAGAGAGACCGAGUAAAUCCUUAUGUCUAUCCUUUUUAUUUCAAUACUAAAAACAUAUGAGGCCUCGCCUAAAUCUUUCAUUUCAAAAUUUUGUCACGCCCCGGAUUAUACGUUCCCCGGGCAUGCCGACAAAUCCGCCGUAUACAAAGAAAUUUUCCCUAUAUACGAAGCAAUAGCUGUAGAGACCGGGAAUUUUAGCUGAGGCUUGUCGACAGCUCUGGAGAGUGUCGGGUCAAGUCCGGGUCGCGUUGGCGCGAAGUGGACGCCAAACGGGCCUUGUGGGAACUUGAGAGCAGCGUGUAUCUUGAAGAUCUGCGAAAUAGCAGAUUUUCAGUGAGCUGUACCGGUACACUUUGACAGGUAUGGUGCUGUUUGACUUUUUCCUCUCUAGUCUUGUCACCACUUUUCCCCUUACCUUAAGAGCAGGGAGGAGAGAGGGGGGAGGGCUUCUUCCUCCUCUGCUGUGCUUCUUCCUCUUCCCCCUUGGCUGAGUAGAGGUGGUGGAGGAGCUCAAGGGAGAAGCUCAAGCUUCGUCGACGACGCGCCGCGGAGCGGAUCGAGGGUGCUUUCAACAUUGUGACGCUGCGAGGAGGCCGGGCGACUGCUGUCCCUUACCAUCCUCGACGUGGUGCUGCUCCCAGGGCGGUUGUCGAGGUGAGUAGGCCACCGAAAUCCCUUCGGUUACUUCAAACUACUCCAUUAUCGAGCUUCUCUGCUGCUGCUGCUGAUUCCAGUGUCGACUGUUGGCGUUUUGGCUUGUUCUCUGUGUAGGAGCGUCGGAUCGCGGUGAUUCUUGCGUCAUUGGAUCCGGGACUUCGAGACGAAUCCAGAGGAUCCUUACUCGCCCGAUUUGGAGAAGGUUUGCCCUGUAGAAACCCCUUUUUACUGAGCUGCUGUUUGCCGAGCAGAUUCUGAAUUGCUGAACCGUAGUUUCCAGCGUCGACGCUCAGUGUUUUGGCUUGUUCUCUGCGUAGGAGCGUCGGAAUUCAGCGAAACUUGAUUUACUGGAUUCGCGGCUUCGAGACGAAGAUUCUGAGCCCAAGAUUGGAAUUUUUAGAUGAGGUUUACUUGCUCGAAACCUAGUCCUAUUGCGCUGCUGUUUGUCGAGCAGAAUCUGAGGUGUUGAUCUGCAGAUCCCAGCGUCGGCCUUCGGUACUUCGGCUCGUGCGCGACGUAGGAGCGACGGAUCGCGACGAAAUCGGGUUUGCUGGAUUCUAGACUGCGAGAAGAAUCCACAGAGUCCAAGUUUGCUGGAUUUGGAAAGGUUAGCUUGAUCGGAUUUAAAGGUUUCUCAGCCACUGUUUUUCGGACAGUUUCGUGGAUUGAGUCAUCCAUGGUCUUAUUUUCCGCAGCAGGUGGAUUCGGUUUUGAGCGGGACGCGUUGGGUUUUCGCGGACUCGGCCACUCUCUUCGUUGCCAGGAGAUUAGCGAUCGAGGUGGGUUAAUCAUCGGCUUUUCAUCCUAAGCGCAUAAUAGUCGACAAGUAUAAUUUCAGCUUUUGACUAGUAUAUGAUAGCUCGAAUUCAUGGAUCAUAGUAUGUUAAAUCUGAGUUUUGGAGCAUGUUUAGCAAGUAUUUAAAUUAUACAUGUUGGACGUGGACUUGACUUAGGAGAAAACCACGGUUUGAUCGUCAUUUGUAUUACACUACCAGAUUUAGCUCUAGGAGCCGUACUGUGCGGUAUCGUCGCGGGGGAGUGUGACGGAUACCCAGGGUAGUGUAGCUUAUUUCCACGCUCGUGCUGUGGAUGCCGAGCUUUGUUACAGUAGAGUCAGACCGUUGGUGUUGUCGGGGACCGUCGGGGGUUGACGGUGGGCCCAGAUUACUGUUUUGGUUACAGAUUGUGCCAAGGGCACGAGGUAUAUUGGUGGUUAGACCCUGUUUAUUUGAAUUAUGCCUGUGAGAGCUUGAUUGAGCUCGACAGAGAUACGCUUGCAUACUCGGUUGGUUCGCGCCCACGAGUGCCGCUCCGGAGUCUGGCUUAGUGCUUUUGCGUUGGUGUCGCUGUGUCCUAGUUGUUGGACUCGCUCUCCACUAGCUACCCCAGGGGUAGUUGUUAGUGUAGCUUCGACAGGCGGGACGGGUGUAUCACAGUCCCACGUAAAAUUGGGUCAGUUUUUACUUGUUCUACAGAGGGUUGUACUAGAGCAGGAUAGCAUAGUGGUAUCUAGCUGUAGAGUGUUUCCAGCUUUUCCUUACUUUUCUUGCUUACCCUGUAGACUUAGUGGGUUGACCGAUGAGGUUUAGGGCGGCACCCACUGAGGACUACUUAUUUUUACAGUAGUUCUCACGCCCCUUUUCUUCCACCGUUGUCGCAGGACCUUCGGUCUCGGCUGCUGCUCCUUCUGAGGCGGAUCGCGGCAAGGGCGUCGCGAGCUAGAGCCCUUCCCGACUGGUGCUGAGUUAGCAGUUUUCCCCUACUGCAGGUAGUGUGCUCGUGUUUUGGGAGCUAUGUACAUAUUUGUGAACUCGUUGGAGCGAGUGCUUUUGUAUAGAGAUUUUUGUAUGUAUAUAGACUCGUUCUUUCUCUACCUGUUCAGUUUGUUUUAGUUUCAGCUCUACGCUACUGUUCGUAGCCUUGUGUGUUGUACAGGUACUGCUACGCUUCGUAUACAGGAAAAAUUUCUUGUAUACGGCGGAUUUGUCGGCGUGCCCGGUGAUCGUGCAAUCCGGGGCGUGACAGAUUAAGUUGGUAUCAGAGCUUAGCAUUAGGUCGUUGGGACCUAGGAAACCUAAGCUGGCAAACCUUAGGAAGGCUUGACGCGAGAGGCGCGAUUUAACGCGAAAGUCAUUGAUUGAUUGUUCUAACUCAUCCUUGAGUGGAGUGAGUGACUGAAGGAGUGUCUGUUUCGGUCCAGGAAAAUUAUGUUGGCUGCAGACGACAUAAUUUUACGGAGAAACAGGGACCACCUUCGAGACUUUCGUUGAUUGGGUCGAGUGUUUGUGCUUAUCUGACCAUGGUCUCCUUUUGUGCAGCUAUGCAUCGACGUAGAGGACGACCGCCGCUUGGGGGUCGUGCCCCACCGCCACCACCCCGGAUACCAGAACAGAUGGAGCAGGGCACCCGACCCGAGACGGGUGUACCUCCCGUGGUAGAGCCGAGUGCACGAGCGGAGGCGAGUGCACAGUUGGAUCUGAGCGCACAGUUGGCUGCCCUGACCGAGGUGACGAGACAGCAGGGAUUACUGUUACAGCAGAUGUGCGAGAGAUUAGCCUCGUCGCCCAGUACAGCAUCGGGGGCACCAGCUCAGCCUACUCCACCUCCCCCUACUCCACCUACUGCACCAGUCGCCGCCAUACCCCCACCAGCAGAGAUACCUCCAGCACCAGUUGCGCCUGCUAGAGUACCAGUCCAGUCGACUGCGGCGGAGCAAGAGCGGAUGACAGAGUUACUGUUUCGUUUUCGCCGCCUUGACCCACCGACGUUUGAUGGGGAUUGCACUGAGCCCUGGGUAGUAGAGAGCUGGAUCAGCGCAAUGGAGAGACUAUUUGAGGACAUGUACGUCCCGGAGGAGGACCAGGUUCAUCUAGGGGUCCAUUGCUUAGUUGGGGACGCCCGCGAGUGGUGGAAGAGGAUGAGGCGCGACCAGGGAGUUGUAGCUUCACAGACGAGCUGGGAUGAGUUCUGCGGGAUGCUGUACCGCACGUACUUCCCUGUCAGUGUAAAGCAGAGGAUUGAGGAAGACUUGAAGAGGAUACAGCAGGGGGAUCGCACAGUCCAGGAGUAUGUUCGGGAGUUUACGCGGCUCCUGAACUGUGUGCCUUUUGCAGCUAGAGACGAGGCACAUCGAGUGUACCUCUUCGAGCAGGGUUUGAGGCCGGAUCUCUACAGGUUUGUGCGGGCGCGGAGGUCGAGGACUUUGGAUGCGUCCAUUGAGCAGGCACUGUGGGAGGAGAGAGGUGAGGCGACGCUUCGAGAGCGAGCCCAGGGGCCGGGACCCAGUCAGGACAGGAAGCGCCCCGCUCCGGAGGACGGUGGACAGUCGAGCAGCAGGCGUCCGCCGAGGCCCCCACGAUCACGUUUUCAGGGUCGUGGAUCCUCGGGGCGUCAGCGUGCCAGGGAUACCCGUCAGCGGGGGCAGCCACAGAGGACACAGCAGUGUGUGAUCUGCGGAGGACCACACGGGGCCCGACAGUGUGAGCAGCGGGAGGGCCGGUGUUUUGGAUGCGGGCAGCCAGGACACAUUAGGGCAGCUUGCCCGCGAGCGGCAUCGUCGGCACCAUUGUCAGCAUCAGCUCAGGCCGGAUCCCAACAGUCGUACGGGACACCGCCGAGCUACCGUCGCGAGGAUAGGGCGUCUGUACCGCGACAGGGUGAGCAGCGGCAGCAGGCUCCGAGCGGCAGGGUAUACGCAGCCCAGGUGGAGGACUCUUCAGCAGCCGACCGAGUGGUGGCAGGUAUCACUUUACUUUCUGGUACUAGAGCACGUACUUUAUUUGAUACCGGCUCAUCGCAUUCUUUUAUCAGUCGAGCUUUUGCAUUAUUACAUGGUCUAGAGUUAGGGUUGUUGCCACAGACCCGGGAGAUCCAGAUCCCCGACCAUGUACUACAGGUGGUAGAGUGUUGUAGGUCGUGUCCAGUGCAGUUAGAUUCGUGGAUCUUGCCCGUAGACUUGUUGGUUUUAGGGCAGCUGCAUGACUUCGACAUUGUGCUUGGCAUGGAUUGGCUGGCGCGGUACUACGCGACUAUUGACUGUGGAGAGAGGACGGUGACACUCCGUGAGCCAGGCCAGGAGGAGUUCACUUUCAGAGGCUGCAGGAGCACGUUGUUUGCCACGUGGAUUUCUUCAGCGAGAGCUCGACAGCUGAUGAGUAGAGGGUGCAUUGCUUUUCUAGCGAUGGUUACAGAGGUACCUACGGCGGCACCGAGACUCGAGGACAUCCCUGUAGUUCGCGAGUUUCCGGAUGUGUUCCCCUCGGAGUUGUCGACUAUGCCGCCGGAGAGGGAGAUUGAGUUUGUGAUUGAUGUAGUUCCGGGAACUGCACCAAUCUCGAAGGUACCUUACAGGAUGGCACCGGCAGAGCUGAGAGAAUUAAAGGCGCAGCUUCAGGAUUUGAUGGAUAAAGGGUUCGUGAGACCCAGUGUAUCGCCUUGGGGAGCACCAGUGUUAUUUGUAAAGAAGAAGGAUGGUUCACUUAGGUUAUGUGUUGAUUACCGAGAGCUGAAUAAAGUGACCAUCAAGAACAAGUAUCCUUUGCCGCGCAUUGAUGAUCUGUUUGAUCAGCUGCAAGGAUCUCGUGUCUUCUCGAAGAUUGAUCUCCAGUCAGGUUACCACCAGCUGAGGGUGAGGGCCGAGGACGUUCCCAAGACGGCUUUUAGGACUCGGUACGGGCAUUAUGAGUUUACAGUGAUGCCUUUUGGAUUGACGAAUGCCCCUGCCGCGUUCAUGGAUUUGAUGAACAGGGUGUUUAAGCCGUUCUUGGAUAGAUUUGUAGUAGUCUUCAUCGAUGAUAUCUUGAUAUACUCCCGUAGCGAUGUCGAGCAUGAGGAGCACUUGAGGAUAGUGCUACAGCUUCUGCGAGAGAAGGAGUUGUAUGCCAAGUUAAAGAAGUGCGAGUUCUGGUUGCGGGAGGUUACUUUCUUGGGUCACGUGAUUUCUGCAGAUGGAGUGGCAGUGGACCCGAAGAAGAUUGAUGCUAUUCGGGAUUGGCCCAGACCGACGACGGUGACUGAGGUGCGGAGCUUCCUUGGAUUAGCAGGAUACUACCGUCGGUUUGUGGAAGGCUUUGCGAAGCUUUCCACACCCCUCACUCGAUUAACUCGUAAAGGAAUUAACUUUAUCUGGAGUGAGGAUUGUCAGAGGAGCUAUGACGAGUUGAGACAGAGGUUGACAUCAGCUCCUAUCCUUGCCCUUCCUGUUAUGGGGGAAGGAUAUGUGAUCUACAGUGAUGCAUCACACAGCGGGCUGGGUUGUGUGUUGAUGCAGCAUGGUAGGGUAAUUGCUUAUGCUUCACGGCAGUUAAAGGAUUUCGAGAAGAAUUACCCUACGCAUGACUUGGAGCUAGCCGCGGUAGUCUUUGCCUUGAAGCUGUGGCGGCAUUACUUGUAUGGUGAGCACUGUGAGAUUUUUACUGAUCACAAGAGUCUCAAGUAUCUGUUCACCCAAAAGGAGUUGAACCUGAGGCAACGCCGGUGGUUGGAGUUACUGAAGGACUAUGAUAUUAGCAUUCAGUAUCAUCCCGGCAAGGCGAAUGUGGUGGCAGAUGCAUUGAGCAGGAAGGCAGUGCAGAGCUCGUGCCUGAUGAUCACUCAGCAGAGGCCGUUACUUGAGGAGCUACAUCGGUUGAGACUAGAGGUCGUGUCCCCUGGGUCUACUGCAAUACUAAUGUCUAUGGUUUUGCAGCCUACUCUGUUGGAUAGGAUCCGAGAGAAACAGAGUGGAGACCCACACUUGCUGAGGAUUAGAGAGCAGUUAGAGAGGGGACAGGCAGAGGGUUUCGCCGUGGACAGUUCGGGAGUACUGAGGUACAGGGACCGACUGUGUGUACCCGUGGAUUCUGAGAUCCGAGCAGACAUUUUGAGAGAGGCUCAUUGUUCUCCUUAUACAGUUCAUCCUGGUGGAACCAAAAUGUAUAAGGACUUGAAGGCACAGUUCUGGUGGAAUGGAAUGAAAAGAGACAUUGGCAGAUACGUGGCUCAGUGUUUGACUUGCCAACAGGUGAAGGCAGAGCAUCAGGUGCCUGCUGGCAAGCUUCAGAGUCUGCCAGUGCCAGAGUGGAAAUGGGAGCAGAUCACAAUGGACUUCGUCGUGGGUUUACCUAGAGCUCAGGGUGGCUUCGACGCUAUUUGGGUGAUAGUAGACAGACUGACUAAGUCUGCUCACUUCCUACCAGUUCAGACACCUGGUCAGAGAGAGACUCGCGCAGUUAUACCUGGAUGAGAUCGUCAGACUGCAUGGCGUGCCAGUGUCGAUAGUAUCGACAGGGACCGAGGUUUGUAUCACACUUUUGGAGGAGUUUGCAGACAGCCUUUGGGCACUCAUUUGCAUUUAGCACGGCACUUUCACCCACAAGACAGAUGGUCAGUCAGAGCGGACCAUUCAGACUCUAGAGGACCUGCUGAGGCAACGUCCUGGACUUUGGAGGCGGGUGGCAUCGCAUUUGAGACUGGUCGAGUUUGCAUACAACAACAGCUAUCAGCGAGCAUCCAGAUGGCUCCGUUUGAGGCGUUGUAUGGACGCAAAUGCGAUCCCCUUUGUUUUGAAGUGAUGUGGGUGAAAGGAAGACUCUUGGGCCUGACAUUCUGUUAGAAGCUGAGGAAAAGGUGAGAGUGGUGCGACUUACACCUUUGACUGCCAGAGCCGCCAGAGACUAUACGCCGAUACCAGGAGGCGAGACUUGGAGUUUCAGAUUGUGGAUCAUGUAUUUCUUAAAGUCUCGCCAUCUAAAGGGAUUCGCAGAUUUGGAGUGCGUGGAAAGCUCAGUCCACGGCUACAUUGGCCCUUUUGAGGUUUUGGAGGCGAGUUGGGCCAGUUGCUUACUAGGAUUGCUCUACCCCCCGCGACUAGUCGGCACCCACGAUGUUUUCCACGUCUCGGCAUUGAGAGAAAUGUAUUCGAUCCUUCUCACGUGAUUGACUUCACUCCGCUCGAGAUAGGCGAGGACCUGCGAUACGAGGAGCGACCGUUGCGGAUUCUUGCUCGUGGAGAAAGAAUUGCGCAACCGGGUCAUACCGUAUGUCAAAGUACAGUGGAGUAAUCACGAGGAGCGGAGGCGACGUUGGGAGCCGAGACGGUGAUGAGGAGGCGUUGUAGGACGCAAUGCCGAUCCCUUUGUUUUGGAGUGAUGUGGGUGAAAGGAAGACUCUUGGGCCUGACUAUUCUGUUAGAAGCUGAGGAAAGGAGAGUGGUUUCGACGACACCUUUUGACGCCCAGAGCGCCAGAGGAGCACGCCGAUACCAGGAGGCGAGAACUUGAGUUUCAGAUUGGUGAUCAUGUAUUCUAAAGUCGCCAUCUACAGGGAUUCGCAGAUUUGGAGUGCGUGGAAAGCUCCAGUCCACGCUACAUUGGCCCUUUUGAGGUUUGGAGCGAGGUUGGGCCAGUUGCUUACAGGAUUGCUCUACCCCCGCGACUAUCGGCACCCACGGAUGUUUCCACGUCCUCGGCAUUGAGAAAAUAUGUAUUCGAUCCUUCUCACGUGAUUGACUUCACUCCGCUCGAGAUAGGCGAGGACACUGCGAUACGAGGAGCGACCGUUGCGGAUUCUUGCUCGUGAGACAAAGAAUGCGCAACCGGGUCAUACCUGUAUGUCAAAGUAGCAGUGGAGUAAUCACGAGGAGCGGGGGCGACUGUGGACCGAGACGGUGAUGAGGGGGGCCUAAUCCUACUCCUGUUUGACGUGCCGAGUGAGGUAUGCCUGAGUUUCGAGGACGAAACUUUUUGUAGUGGGGAGGAUGUAGAGACCGGGAAUUUAGCUGAGGCUUGUCGACAGCUCUAGAGAGUGCGGGUCAAGUCCGGGUCGCGGUGGCGCAAGUGGACGCCAACGGGCCUUGUGGGAACUUGAGAGGCAGCGUGUAUCUUGAAGAUCUGCGAAAUAGCAGAUUUUCAGUGAGCUGUACCGGUACACUUUGACAGGUAUGGUGCUGUUUGACUUUUCCCUCUCUAGUCUUGUCACCACUUUUCCCCUUACCUUAAGAGCAGGAGGAGAGAGGGGGAGGGCUUCUCCUCCUCUGCUGUGCUUCUUCCUCUUCCCCCUUGGCUGAGUAGAGGUGUGAGGAGCUCAAGGGAGAAGCUCAAGCUUCGUCGACAGCGCGCCGCUGAGCGGAUCGGGAGGCUUUCAACAUUGUGACCUGCGAGAGGCCGGCGACUGCUGUCUUACCAUCCUCGACGUGGUGCUGCUCCCAGGGCGGUUGUUCGAGGUGAUGUAGGCCACCGAAAUCCCUUCGUUACUUCAAACUACUCCAUUAUCGAGGCUUCUCUGCUGCUGCUGCUGAUUCCAGUGUCGACUGUUGGCGUUUUGGCUUGUUCUCUGUGUAGGAGCGUCGGAUCGCGGUGAUUCCUUCGUCAUUGGAUCUGGGACUCGAGACGAAUCCAGAGGAUCCUUACUCGCCCGAUUUGGAGAAGGUUUUCCCUGUAGAACCCUUUUUACUGAGCGCUGCUUUGCCGAGCAGAUUCUGAUUGCUGAACCGUAGUUUUCAGCGUCGACGCUCAGUGUUUUGGCUUGUUCUCUGCGUAGGAGCGUCGGAAUUCAGCGAAACUUGAUUCCUGGAUUCGCGGCUUCGAGACGAAGAUUCUGAGCCCAAGAUUGGAAUUUUUAGAUGAGGUUUACUUGCUCGAAACCUAUGUCCUAUUGCGCUGCUGUUGGUCGAGCAGAAUCUGAGGUGUUGAUCGCAGAUCCGCAGGUCGGCCUUCGUACUUCGGCUCGUGCGCGACGUAGGAGCGACGGAUCGCGACGAAAUCAAGUUUGCUGGAUUCUAGACGCGAGAGAAUCCACAAGAGUCCAAGUUUGCUGGAUUGGAAAGGUUAGCUUGAUCGAUUUAAAGGUUUCUCAGCCACUGUUUUUCGGACAGUUUCGUGAUUGAGUCAUCCAUGGUCUUAUUUUCCGCAGCAGGUGAUUCGGUUUUGAGCGGACCGCUUGGGUUUUCGGCUAGCUCGGCCACUCUCUUCGUUGCCAGGAGAUUAGCGAUGCGAGGUGGGUUAAUCAUCGGCUUUUCAUCCUAAGCGCAUAAUAGUCGACAAGUAUAAUUUCAGCUUUUGACUAAUAUAUGAUAGCUCGAAUUCACGGAUCAUAAUAUGUUAAAUCUGAGUUUUGGAGCAUGUUUAGCAAGUAUUUAAUUAUAACAUGUUGGACUUGGACUUGACUUAGGAGAAAACCACGGUUUGAUCGUCAUUUGUAUUACACUACCAGAUUUAGGCUCUAGGAGCCGUACUGUGGCGUAUCGUCGCGUGGGAGUGUGACGGAUUACCAGGGUAGUGUAGCUUAUUUCCACGCUCGGUGCUGGUGGAUCCGAGCUUUGUUACAGUAGAGUCAGACCGUUGGUGUUGUCGGGGACCGUCGGGUGACGGGUGGGCCCAGAUUACUAUUUGGUUACAGAUUGUGCCAAAGGCACGAGUAUAUUGGUGGUUAGACCCUGUUUUAUUGAAUUAUGCCUGUGAGAGCUUGAUUGAGCUCGACAGAGAUACGCUUGCAUACUCGGUUGGUUCGCGCCCACGAGUGCCCCCGGAGUCUGCUUUAGUGCUUUUGCGUUGGUGUCGUUGUGUCCUAGUGUGUUGGACUCGCUCUCCACUAGCUACCCCAGGGGUAGUUGUUAGUGUAGCUUCGACAGGCGGGAACGGUGAUCACAGUCCCACGUAAAAUUGGGUCAGUUUUUACUUGUUCUACAGAGGGUUGUACUAGAGCAGGAUAGCAUAGUGGUAUCUAGCUGUAGAGUGUUUCCAGCUUUUCCUUAACUUUUCUUGCUUACCCUGUAGACUUAGUGGGUUGACCGAUGAGGUUUAGGGCGGCACCCACUGAGGACUACUUAUUUUUACAGUAGUUCUCACGCCCCUUUUCUUCCACGGUUGUCGCAGACCUUCGGUCUCGCUCUGCUGCCUUCUGAGGCGGAUCGCGGCAAGGCGUCGCGAGCUAGAGCCCUUCCCGACUGGUGCUGAGUUAGCAGUUUCCCCUACUGCAGGUAGUGUGCUCGUGUUUUGGGAGCUAUGUACAUAUUUGUGAACUCGUUGGAGCGAGUGCUUUUGUAUAGAGAUUUUUGUAUGUAUAUAGACUCAUUCUUUCUCUACCUGUUCAGUUUGUUUAGUUUCAGCUCUAGCCUACUAUUCGUAGCCUUGUGUGUUGUACAGGUACUGCUACGCUUCGUAUACAGAAA